CCCCCGAGGACAUGACCUUACUCUACCAUCUCCCGCCGCGGCCACUAUCCCCAACCGAUUACGGAAAACAGUGGUGCACCCACGUAUUACAACGGAGUACGCAAAAGGAUGCAAGCUAGGAAUCGACAAAGUAAACCGCACACAUGGUGCUUAGAUAGAUAACGUAAAAGGAUGUACAGAGUAAAAAAGGAGGUCGGGAGGUACCAACUCCCGAUGGAAAAACCUGGAAGUAUGCUUUGAUUCGCCCGAGAUCAACUACCGCUAGCUCUUGCACACUUCGUCCGGUGUUGCUUUGCUCUUCGCGUCCAAAUGCCGUAAGCUCUCCUUGUCCGCCGCGGCUUGUACCUGAAAAUCAAGCAGAGUAUCAAAAUGUUAAUUGAGGGAGUAUUGUACUGUAUCCAUCCGAGGCUGCUCACCAAUGCGUCAAUAUUUGAUUUGUAAGAGCGAUUUCUAUCCUUAAGGGGAAAAGAUAUUUUCUGCGAAAGCUUUCCUUAAAUGAACCUCAGUGGUAUAUAUGGAUGAAGAGAGUAGCUUGCAUCAAUUUUGUCAAGAAAAAUUGUUGCUUUAAAUGAGCAGAAACUCUGUAAGGUCUUUACUUAUUUUAUGUUUUAAUUGUUAGACAAUAGAAUAUAAGUGUAGCCUUAAGCGGAGGUACUUGAUAUGUUCAGUUCCUUAUCUUUCAUGAUGUAAAGGAUUAGAACAACUCAAUUUUUGUGCUUACACAAUAUUUUACUUUUACUUCUUUUCUUUUCUGGUGGCUUUAGCGUUCACUUCUGUCAUUGGGAGGCAAGGUGAAGGAGGAACACAUCUCCCUCUUAAUAAAUGCUGGACUUCUGAUGCGGCAACUUAUUGAUCCAAACAUGUACUGGUUUGCUAUUCCAAAUAUUAGAUCAGUUCUCAAGGGCGUAUCGCAG